rnacentral:rRNA from 1 species
GAUGAACGCUGGCGGCGUGCCUAAUACAUGCAAGUCGAGCGAACAGACGAGGAUCUUGCUCCUCUGACGUUAGCGGCGGACGUGUGAGUAACGCGUGUAUAACCUACCUAUAAUACUGGUAUAACUUCGGGAAACCGGAUCUAAUACCGUAUGAUAUCUUGAACCGCAUGGUGCAAUAGUGAAAUACGGUGUUUCUGGCACGUAUAGAUGGAUCCGCGCCGCAUUGGCUAGUUGGGAAGGUAACUGCCUACCAAGGGGACGAGGCGUAGCCGACCUGAGGGGCGGAUAGGCCACCCUGGAACGGGGCCACGGUCCAGACUACUACGGGAGGGAGCAGUAGGGAAUCGUCCGCAGUGGGCGAAAGCAUGACGGAGCAACGGCGCGUGAGUGAUGACGGUCCUCGGAUCGUAAAACCCUGUUAUUAGGGAAGAACAACUGUGUAAGUAACUAUGCACGGAUUGACGGUACCGAAUAAGAAAGCACCGGCUAACUACGUG